rnacentral:rRNA from 1 species
GACGAACGCUGGCGGCGUGCUUAACACAUGCAAGUCGAACGAAGUGGCGAACGGGUGAGUAACGCGUAAUCAACCUGCCCUUCAGAGGGGGACAACAGUUGGAAACGACUGCUAAUACCGCAUACUGAAGGAGGGGAUUGUGUCUGAUUAGCUAGUUGGAGGGGUAACGGCCCACCAAGGCGAUGAUCAGUAGGCGGUCUGGGAGGAGGGACGGCCACAUUGGGACUGAGACACGGCCCAGACUCCUACGGGAGGCAGCAGUGGGGAAUCUUCCGCAAUGGACGAAAGUCUGACGGAGCAACGCCGCGUGAGUGAUGACGGCCUUCGGGUUGUAAAGCUCUGUUAAUCGGGACGCGGUACCUGAAUAGAAAGCCACGGCUAACUACGUGCCAGUAGCCGCGGUAAUAC